UACGGAAGGUGCAAGCGUUAAUCGGAUUUACUGGGCGUAAAGCGUGCGUAGGCGGUUUUAUAAGUCGGAUGUGAAAUCCCCGGGCUCAACCUGGGAAUUGCACCCGAAACUAUAAGACUAGAAUGCGGUAGAGGGAAGUGGAAUUCCAGGUGUAGCGGUGAAAUGCGUAGAUAUCUGGAGGAACAUCAAUGGCGAAGGCAACUUCCUGGGCCUGCAUUGACGCUGAGGUACGAAAGCGUGGGGAGCAAACAGG
rnacentral:rRNA from 1 species